UGGGGAAUAUUGCACAAUGGGGGAAACCCUGAUGCAGCGACGCCGCGUGAGCGAAGAAGGUUUUCGAAUCGUAAAGCUCUGUCCUAUGAGAAGAUAAUGACGGUAUCAUAGGAGGAAGCCCCGGCUAAAUACGUGCCAGCAGCCGCGGUAAUACGUAUGGGGCGAGCGUUGUCCGGAAUUAUUGGGCGUAAAGGGUACGUAGGCGGUCUAUUAAGUCAGGUGUGAAAGCGUGAGGCUUAACCUCAUUAAGCACUUGAAACUGAUAGACUUGAGUGAAGGAGAGGAAGGUGGAAUUCCUAGUGUGGCGGUGAAAUGCGUAGAUAUUAGGAGGAAUACCGGUGGCGAAGGCGACUUUCUGGACUUUUACUGACGCUCAGGUACGAAAGCGUGGGGAGCAAACAGG
rnacentral:rRNA from 1 species